UACGUAGGGUGCGAGCGUUGUCCGGAAUUACUGGGCGUAAAGAGCUCGUAGGUGGUUUGUCGCGUUGUUCGUGAAAACCGGGGGCUUAACCCUCGGCGUGCGGGCGAUACGGGCAGACUGGAGUACUGCAGGGGAGACUGGAAUUCCUGGUGUAGCGGUGGAAUGCGCAGAUAUCAGGAGGAACACCGGUGGCGAAGGCGGAUCUCUGGGCCAUUACUGACGCUGAGGAGCGAAAGCGUGGGGAGCGAACAGG
rnacentral:rRNA from 1 species